rnacentral:lncRNA from 1 species
GAACAACACUUUCAUUGCACACUUCAUAAUUUAUAAUAGAAAUAUUACAUCUCCUUCUCCAAGUGGAGAGCAGAGAGAUAACGACAACUUUAUUGCAAUCUAAAACCACUAGUAGGAAAUAACUAUAUUAAAUUGAUACAAUUAAAAUACAAUACCAAGACCUUCCCAAAGAGAAAUCUAAGCUUAUCUUACUACUUAUUAGGAACCUUAAUAAAACCCACGUGUGUAGUAUUUUCUACUUUAGUAAGGGUUUGAAGAUCAUAAGCUUUCCAACACCUUGAGUUAUCCUUGUGGUAGAAAUACCCAACACACUUACAAUCCUUGGUACAUUUGUUUCCACAUGCAUCUUCACUUACACUAUCACCAGUAGUGUAUUUGCUCAUGUAGUGCUCAACUCCUUCAAUUUUGUAGUAAUGAAAUUCACUUGCUUUGCAUACUCCUCCUAAAGGCUUAGCAUUACAUUUAUUACUCCAACCAAAUAUUCCAUUCUCCAAUGGACAACCAACACAUUGAUUAUCCUCACAAAGCCCAAAUUUCCCACAUCUCUCAGGCAAUUGGCACUCACCCUCAUCUUCAUCUUCAUCAAAGAGAGUGUAUGUCACUUUCCAAACACCACUACGCACAUCAAGGAAGUAGGUGUGAAAUUUAAUAUUACCAUCAAUUCCAAGCCUAAGAUAUGUUAAGGUACUAUUAUUCACUGGCCUACCAAUGAUACUACUACCAGAAGUGGUAGAAUUGGCAACAAAAAAAUCAAAUCCAUACUCAAAAGAUUCUGGAUCAGAUUUUAGUGUGACAUUUUCUAAUGAACCUUUUUCAAAUGAAAACCAAGAAGAUGAAAACCAAUAUUUAAUUGGCCUAGGAGAAUUUGUACUCUUAUAAUAUAAAGCCAAACCUUUAGGCUCCAAAACCAAACUAUAAGGACCAUCAACAUUUUCUUUUUCUGAAAGUCUACUAACAAGCUUUGAAGGACCAUUAGGUUUUAAAUAUUGAUCAACCAAAAGGGUAUCUGUUGGAUGGUCAAAACUUUGCCAAACAAAUUUACCUUUGGCAUCAAUUAAAACCAUGUUACCAUUUGAGAGUAACCUAAAGGCAACAACACCUUUAUUGGAAGUGUUUGUUUGCCAAACAAUUCUUCCAUCAGCAUUAGCCAACACAAGAUUUCCAUCAGCACCUAAUGAAAAAGUACCAUUUUCACCAACUGGAUUGCCUCUAUUUGCUUCCCAUACCCACCGGAAAAGCUGCUCCGAUCGUUGAAGACCGAUUCGAAGAGCUAAAGUGAAUGCAUUUGGGGUAGUGUUAUAAAAACCAACUUGAAAUGGAGCAUUGAAUAUGCUUAUCAUUCUGUAAUCACCUCCAUAUUCUACAAUGAAGUCUCCAAGGUCACCUGAAUUUACAAAUUUAAAGGUUUCAUUUUGUGGAACAAUUGCAUGUGCAAUUAAGGUGGAAAAUGAAAAGAACAAUAAAGUGAGAAAUGAGGUUUUGGGGUUAAGAAAAAUAGACAUUGUUGUGUGAAUUGUUGAUUGAUGGAUGUGUUUUGCUAUAUGUUAGGUAUCUUCUAUUUAUAGUAUUCAAUGUGAGAAGGUUAGGUUAGAAAGGUACUUGAGGCAUCUUUUGGUCAAAGUUGUCCAACUCAAGUACUAUUAUAG